rnacentral:piRNA from 2 species
UGUUUGAUGUAAUGCACCAUGGUGAUCUGAUA